rnacentral:rRNA from 1 species
AACGAACGCUGGCGGCAUGCCUAACACAUGCAAGUCGAACGAUUGCCUUCGGGUGAUAGUGGCGCACGGGUGCGUAACGCGUGGGAAUCUGCCCUUAGGUUCGGAAUAACAGCUGGAAACGGCUGCUAAUACCGGAUGAUAUCGCGAGAUCAAAGAUUUAUCGCCUGAGGAUGAGCCCGCGUUGGAUUAGGUAGUUGGUGGGGUAAAGGCCUACCAAGCCGACGAUCCAUAGCUGGUCUGAGAGGAUGAUCAGCCACACUGGGACUGAGACACGGCCCAGACUCCUACGGGAGGCAGCAGUGGGGAAGAUUGGACAAUGGGCGCAAGCCUGAUCCAGCAAGGCCGCGUGAGUGAUGAAGGCCCUAGGGUUGUAAAGCUCUUUUACCCGGGAAGAUAAUGACUGUACCGGGAGAAUAAGCCCCGGCUAACUCCGU